GGUCUUGUAGUGUAGCGGUUAUCACUUGGGAUUCUGAGGACAUCUUCCCAAGACCCAGGUUCGAUUCCUGGCAAGACCU